rfam:Pteropus alecto contig98653, whole genome shotgun sequence.
GCUGGUGUAAAUGAUGACUUCACUUUUUUCCCCAUCAUAUCGACCAUGCCGAUAUCUUUGAAAACUUGCCAGUUAGUUCUGAUAUACCGGC